CAAAUGACUCUCAGCAACGGAUAUCUUGGCUCUUGCAACGAUGAAGAACGCAGCGAAAUGCGAUACCUAGUGUGAAUUGCAGAAUUCCGCGAAUCAUCGAGUUUUUGAACGCAAGUUGCGCCCGAGGCUUGUCCCAAGGGCAUGUCUGUCUGAGCGUCCAC
rnacentral:rRNA from 1 species